rnacentral:rRNA from 1 species
UAGGGAAUCUUCGGCAAUGGGGGGAACCCUGACCGAGCAACGCCGCGUGAGUGAAGAAGGUUUUCGGAUCGUAAAGCUCUGUUGUUAAGGAAGAACGAGUGUGAGAAUGGAAAGUUCAUACUGUGACGGUACUUAACCAGAAAGGGACGGCUAACUACGUGCCAGCAGCCGCGGUAAUACGUAGGUCCCGAGCGUUGUCCGGAUUUAUUGGGCGUAAAGCGAGCGCAGGCGGUUAGAUAAGUCUGAAGUUAAAGGCAGUGGCUCAACCAUUGUAGGCUUUGGAAACUGUUUAACUUGAGUGCAGAAGGGGAGAGUGGAAUUCCAUGUGUAGCGGUGAAAUGCGUAGAUCUAUGGAGGAACACCGGUAGCGAAAGCGGCUCUCUGGUCUGUAACUGACGCUGAGGCUCGAAAGCGUGGGGAGCGAACAGG